rnacentral:rRNA from 1 species
GAGGAAUAUUGGUCAAUGGGCGCAAGCCUGAACCAGCCAUCCCGCGUGCAGGAAGACGGCGCUAUGCGUUGUAAACUGCUUUUCCAGGGAGAGGAACUUGCGCACGUGUUGCGCAAUUGACGGUACCCUGGGAAUAAGCAUCGGCUAACUCCGUGCCAGCAGCCGCGGUAAUACGGAGGAUGCGAGCGUUAUCCGGAUUCAUUGGGUUUAAAGGGUGCGUAGGCGGACUAUUAAGUCAGUGGUGAAAUCCUGCAGCUUAACUGCAGAACUGCCAUUGAUACUGAUAGGCUUGAGUUUGGUUAAGGUAGGCGGAAUGUGUAAUGUAGCGGUGAAAUGCUUAGAUAUUACACAGAACACCAAUUGCGUAGGCAGCUUACUGAGCCGACACUGACGCUGAGGCACGAAAGCGUGGGGAUCGAACAG